GCCUGCUGGUCUGCUGGCGGGCAGGCGGCGCUGGGCCGGAGCCUCUCCCUCCGGUGCGCACAGCGCACCCUCUCCUCCCCCGGCCGCCCGUCGCAGCGCGGAGAGGGCGUGUCGGCACCCUGCCUGGCGAGCGCCCACCCCUACAAUGGCUGCGAGCGCGCGGGACGGAGGGUGCACCGCCGCUCCCCGGGGACUUGCACGGGUGGCGCGCCUAGCCCAGAGCCCGCUUGUAGUGAGCGCUCAGUAGGGCGGGAAAGCUGCUGCCGCUACUGCGGCCUUCUGAGAAGACGCCCAUUCUCUGAUGUCAGGACUGCAUCGCCGAGUCCUGAUUGCAAAUAGCGAAAUAUAUAAUUAAGGAGAGUUCGGGGGCGUAUCCUGCAAUGGGAUGCCGAGUUCGAUAAAGUUGCAGGAUGCUGGGAAAGUGGAUUGAUUUGCUGUUGCUAAAUGAAUGGAAACAGCGUUAGAGCUUCUGUCCACGAUCCAUCAGUCUAUCGAGAUUGCUGAUUGCCUAUGACUUGGACGGUUGAUGGUUUUCAGGCCCACUGAGAGCAGCCAGCGUUGGUAUAACCGCAGGGAGCCCUCCUGGGAGGUUGAACCUGCAGAGCGCAAAUGUGCCCAGGUUGAUUUGGGGCCUAGUGGUCCAUUUUCACAGCUCCACUGCCUAUCUGCAUAACCAGGAGCCCUCAUUCAGAUGAACGCCAAAUGGGCCAGAGGGAGGAGAAUCAAAUGAGCAACUUUUAAAAGAUAUUAAGACAUAGGCACCUAACUCCGGACAGUUCCUUUAACCCUUGAGCUAACCAUUUGAAGCACAAAACAUAACAAAAGAAAAGACUGGGGGGAGUGGGGCCAAAAGAAACCAAGUGCAAAAUUCUGUACACUUGUGUCAGAUUCACUCCGUAAUGGGAAAAGGUCUGGCUUUGAAAACUUUAUGGAUCAAAGGGAUGCAUGGAGUUACACAGCACAGCUGCAGAAGAUAAUGUUCCCCUGGAUCACUCUGCCCAACUCUUAACUGCAACCCACCUUCCCCAUCCGUCUCCCCGAAAUCACCCGGAAGGGUGUUACCUUCAGGAAGUAACUGAUCUCUUGAUCACCCCUGCUGGAUCCUGUCCCCAAGGGCGUUCGAAUGCAUCCGACUCAUCUUCACCUUGCCAAUAACGGGUGCUUGACACAUCGUUUGCUGCCAAUCAUUAUUGUGAUUUUAAUACUAUUGGUAUUCUAACUAUCAAGAUGACUGCUUGUAGAGCCAGAUUGCCUGGAUUCAAACUCCAGUUCACAACCUACUAACUGUAUGCCUUUAGGUAAACUCAGAUGCCUCUGAUGGAUUCGAAAUAACCAGAUAUAUUUCUGAAUUGCUUCAUAUGCUUCUCCAUACCAUCCUCAUGGAGACUUGAAGUGACAAUUGACAAAGCUUGGAGCUUCCCACAGAAAAUUCCAGCCUGUUCUUGGUGCCUGUUGUACAUGGGACAGAAUUGGAUGGUGGGUUGGAGUCAGGCUGGGGCUCAAAUCCUGGACCUUUCUCUCUGGAACCCAAGACUCCCCAGGUUGCAGAGGUGACAGCUUCUGAUGUUUGACACAGAGGCCAGUGAAGAUAAAAAUAAUGACAGCAUUUAUGGGAGGCCAAGGCGGGCAGAUCACGAGGUCAGGAGAUCAAGACCAUCCUGGUCAACAUGGUGAAACCCUGUC
rnacentral:lncRNA from 10 species